CCUACGGGGAGCAGCAGUGAGGAAUAUUGGUCAAUGGGCGCGAGCCUGAACCAGCCAAGUCGCGUGCAGGAUGACGGAUCUAUGGUUUGUAAACUUCUUUUAUAUGGGAAUAAAGUGAGGCACGUGUUCCUUUUUGUAUGUAUCCUAUGAAUAAGCAUCGGCAAACUCCGUGCCAGCAGCCGCGGUAAUACGGAGGAUGCGAGCGUUAUCCGGAUUCAUUGGGUUUAAAGGGUGUGUAGGUGGUUAAUUAAGUCAGGGGUGAAAGUUUGUGGCUCAACCAUAAAAUUGCCGUUGAAACUGGUUGACUUGAGUAUAUUGGAGGUAGGCGGAAUGCGUGGUGUAGCGGUGAAAUUCAUAGAUAUCACGCAGAACUGCGAUUGCGAAGGCAGCUUACUAAUCUAUAACUGACUGUGAAGCACGAGAGCGUGGGGAUCAAACAGGAUUAGAUACGCCAGGUC
rnacentral:rRNA from 1 species